rnacentral:tRNA from 1 species
GGAGAGGUGGCCGAGUGGCUGAAGGCGCUCCCCUGCUAAGGGAGUAUGGGCUAAUGCUCAUCGAGGGUUCGAAUCCCUCUCUCUCCG